CACUAUUUAAUCUGUGUUAUCUACCUUAACUUUAGAAGUUUCAAUCAGUGUAUCUCCAAGUAAACUACGGCCCAAACUACAGAUGUCCUGGCCGCUAUUUUUUAUGCUUUUAGGUGUUUCCUUGUUGGUAUUCACAAGCGAUGGCGAUUGCAGUUGUAACGAAAUGUGCAGAAAACAAGAAAACGAUAAACCGUUUUCUGAAUUUAUCACUGACCUAAAGCCAAAAAGAUUUAAAAGGAACGAAGGAGAGAUCACCUAUUGCACGAUGUGUCUACUUCACAAGUUCUUGAGGCGGGCAGCAGCUGCAGCAUGAUAGUUAUCAAUCCAGAGGAGAAAAAGGAUCAAAUAAAACAACUGAAAUGAAAUGAAACUAAUCGUUUGUUUGUUGAUUAACUUCCCUCUCUAGAAUUUUUCACUCAUAUGGAGACAUCACCACUUACCGGUGGAGAUCUGCAAAUUUUGUCCCAUAC